AAUCUUCAGGGCGGGGUGAAAGUCCCCACUGGCGGUAAAGUCCGCGACCCGAAUUUUUCGGCUGAACCGGUGCAACUCCGGUACCAACAGUUAAAGUCUGGAUGGAAGAAGAG
rnacentral:ncRNA from 1 species